UACGAAGGGGGCUAGCGUUGUUCGGAAUUACUGGGCGUAAAGCGCACGCAGGCGGUCCGAUUAGUCAGAAGUGAAAGCCCCGGGCUCAACCUGGGAACUGCUUUUGAUACUGUCGGGCUUGAAUCACGGAGAGGGUAGUGGAAUUCCGAGUGUAGAGGUGAAAUUCGUAGAUAUUCGGAAGAACACCAGUGGCGAAGGCGACUACCUGGCCGUCGAUUGACGCUCAUGUGCGAAAGCGUGGGGAGCAAACAGG
rnacentral:rRNA from 1 species